rnacentral:misc_RNA from 1 species
AAAAAACUAAAAACACACACACAAAGGAGGAGAAGAACAACAAGUCUUGUCAUAUCAUUGAAAAAUUCAUCAAUAAAAUUAAAAAAGAGAAAAAAAGCAUGAAGCCACCGAAUUUCAAUCUUGAAUCGGAAGACGAGUCCGAAGUCAGCAGCAGCCAAGUUGCCUCCAACACUUCUGCCCAAGAAAUUUCUCCUGAUCCUUACAAGGAUAACACGACCAAUUCGUCCUGUCUGACAAACUCUCUCAAUCUUCAGCAGGAGUCGAAAGCCGUUACACUUGACUUGACUCUUGGCUUCAACAGCGGUGCUGAUACCGAGUCGA